UGGGGAAUUUUGGACAAUGGGCGAAAGCCUGAUCCAGCAAUGCCGCGUGUGUGAAGAAGGCCUUCGGGUUGUAAAGCACUUUUGUCCGGAAAGAAAUCCUCUGGGUUAAUACCUCGGGGGGAUGACGGUACCGGAAGAAUAAGCACCGGCUAACUACGUGCCAGCAGCCGCGGUAAUACGUAGGGUGCAAGCGUUAAUCGGAAUUACUGGGCGUAAAGCGUGCGCAGGCGGUUUUGUAAGACGGAUGUGAAAUCCCCGGGCUUAACCUGGGAACUGCAUUCGUGACUGCAAGGCUAGAGUAUGGCAGAGGGGGGUAGAAUUCCACGUGUAGCAGUGAAAUGCGUAGAGAUGUGGAGGAAUACCGAUGGCGAAGGCAGCCCCCUGGGCCAAAUACUGACGCUCAUGCACGAAAGCGUGGGGAGCAAAACAGGAUUAGAUACCCUGGUAGUCCACGCCCUAAAACGAUGUCAACUAGUUGUUGGGGAUUCAUUUCCUUAGUAACGUAGCUAACGCGUGAAGUUGACCGCCUGGGGAGUACGGUCGCAAGAUUAAAAACUCAAAGGAAUUGACGGGG
rnacentral:rRNA from 1 species